rnacentral:rRNA from 1 species
AUGGAGGUCGAGGGGCGGCGCGGCGCCGAGGCCGAGCCUGGUGGUGACGCGGACGACGAACGAGGAGGUGGUGUACGAGCUGCGGCAAGCCACGCUGGUGAAGGACCUAGGGGCGGCGGGCGCGGGAGGCCAAGGCGGGCAGGCGCCGCUAGUGGCUGGAGCAGCUUGAGCAGGAGGGCACGCCGAGCUCGGCUGGGGCCUCAUGAGUUGGGCGGCAUCUGGCGCCGCAGGGUCAGUGCGCCCUUCGCCGCCCUCCUCGUGGUGUCCGUCCUUGUCCUCGUCGUCUUCACUGGCCGCUUCCUGCAGGGCCCCGACGCUUCCUCGCGAUUCACCCCGGUACAUGUGGACGACUCCACACCCCGGACAGUCUCCUCCACGGACCAAGACUUGGAGACAUCUGAUUCAUCAAAUCAAGAAGGGGAGGGGGUGACCAAAAAAUUGAGCUUGAUGAAUCUUCCAUGGAGGCAAUGGAAGAGCAGAAACAGCCUUAAGAGGACACUCCUGCUAGCUGUUGGUGAAGUGUCAUUUUCUCACAAUAUAAGACAUCCGGACUCUAUCCUUGGUGGUCGAGCAGCCUUAACUACGGCUGAAUAA